CAGUCGCCGCGGGAACACGGAGGGUGCAAGCGUUAAUCGGAAUUACUGGGCGUAAAGCGCGCGCAGGCGGAUAGGUCAGUCUGUCUUAAAAGUUCGGGGCUUAACCCCGUGAUGAGAUGGAAACUGCCAAUCUAGAGUAUCGGAGAGGAAAGUGGAAUUCCUAGUGUAGCGGUGAAAUGCGUAGAUAUUAGGAAGAACACCAGUGGCGAAGGCGACUUUCUGGACGAAAACUGACGCUGAGGCGCGAAAGCCAGGGGAGCGAACGGGAUUAGAUACCCGUGUAGUCCCUGUCUCUUAUACC
rnacentral:rRNA from 1 species